CGUUCUUUUGUUCCUCAUUUAGUUGCAAUGUUUUCAAAAUAAUCUCGUGCUACACGACAAAUCAGUACUCAACAUAAUAUGAGUCAGCAAAUCUACAUCGCGUGUUAUCAAUAAGUCUUGGAAACUACUUUUUCCUUCCAUAUUAACUUGUCUUUUACCGUCAUUUUCAAUAUGGUAUCUUUGCACAGAGACAAUAUUCACGGGUUUCGCUUCACAGUUAUUUACUGCGAGCCCUAAUUCUUUAAUAAAUUCAUCCGUUAAAAACUCACACACGCUCCUGUUUCUAGGAGCGCUGCCACUUUUGCAUAUGUAUUAUCAUGAGUAGUGCGAUCUGCCUAACAAAGUUACUCUUGAGUCAUGUUGAUUAUAGCCUUCUUUUCAUUAUUUUUAAGGUCACUCCCUUGUUCGUUAUGGCCUUCAUCUUAUUAUAUUAAAGGUUACUCCCUUGUUCGUUAUAGCCUUCAUCUUAUUAUAUUAAAGGUUACUCCCUUCUUCGUUAUAGCCUUCAUCUUAUUAUAUUAAAGGUUACUCCCUUCUUCGUUAUAGCCUUCAUCUUAUUAUAUUAAAGGUUACUCCCUUCUUCGUUAUAGCCUUCAUCUUAUUAUAUUAAAGGUUACUCCCUUCUUCGUUAUAGCCUUCAUCUUAUUAUAUUAAAGGUUACUCCCUUCUUCGUUAUAGCCUUCAUCUUAUUAUAUUAAAGGUUACUCCCUUCUUCGUUAUAGCCUUCAUCUUAUUAUAUUAAAGGUUACUCCCUUGUUCGUUGUAGCCUUCAUCUUAUUAUAUUAAAGGUUACUCCCUGUUUUGUUCUUCGCUCAUUUUCCGUUUUUUCCACUGCAAGUGUG